rnacentral:rRNA from 1 species
GUCCACGCAGUAAACGAUGAUUACUAGCUGUUUGCGAUACAAUGUAAGUGGCUAAGGGAAACCGAUAAGUAAUCCACCUGGGGAGUACGUUCGCAAGAAUGAAACUCAAAGGAAUUGACGGGGGCCCGCACAAGCGGAGGAACAUGUGGUUUAAUUCGAUGAUACGCGAGGAACCUUACCCGGGCUUGAAAUGCAGAAGACGAAUCAGGAAACUGAUUUUCCAGCAAUGGCUUCUGUGUAGGUGCUGCAUGGUUGUCGU